AGCCGCCAGCUUUCUAUUACAAUAAUGACAGCUAAUGAUUAGCAUAUCAACCUAGGAAAAGACAAAAUAACGGUAACCUAGGAAUGAGAAUAUCUGGGAUCAUGUGCAGCUGUCACUUCAUGUGAUUGGGCUAUGCUGCACUGUUGUUUGGACCAAGGAGAUGGGCUGCCCACCUUCUCUACACUCCAUGGCCUUUAGACAUCUGCUAUUUAACAUCACCACACAAAAUUUUGAAACGCCCAUUUCACAAUAACUAUUGUUGCGAACUUUGAACUCACUUUUGAAGGAGCCACCCAUUUAUUUUUUCUCCAAACACCAAACUAGUAAAAUGAUCGUGGUAUACUUGUGCAGUUGUGCUCGAAUAAUUCUUCCACAAAAAACCAGAUUGUAAGAAAAUUAACAAAAGCCCAAGCCCAUUCCCUAAAAAUAAAUAAAAUAGCCCAAGCCCAAUUAUUAUGGCGAAAUAGAUGAAAUACUCUGUAGACGCGUAUGGGUUGUCAAAAAAAAAACUAAAACUCAAACGCGUGAAAGAAAUGACCGACUUAUGAACCUCCAUCAAUUUCACCGCCUUAUUCCGCGUAACUUAUAUUCCCCGAAACUGAAACCCUAAUUCUACUUUUCUCUACCUCUCUCUCAAUCUCCCAAGUCGCAACCCUAGAAUUUUCGAUUAGAAAUCUCCUGUUCGUCUAACUCAUGAUUCGAUAACAUCAUCUAUACUAUUGAUUAAGGCACCGGUCAGUAUUGAUUGUUCUUCGAAACUAAUUUUUCCCAAAGUGAAGAUCUCGAUCAAAAUCUUCACUCUGUGAAAAAUUAGUUUGGGUAACCUGCUUUUUUGGUUCUUUGAUGAAGAAGAGUACAAGAAGAAGAGGAAGCAGAAGUACGAAAGUGGUUGUCAAAUACAAAUAAUAGGGCAAAUGAGAGUAAUUGUGAAAUAGAAGAUCCGGGAUCGGUAGCAGGCUGGCAGUUAUUGAAGAGAAAAUUCAGGCUUGCAGGUAUUGUUGGAACCCCUCAAGCUGGAGUUGGAGUUUUAUUGGGCCCGCCUUUUUAUCACAGAUACACAGCCUUUAACCCUUUACUUGCUACAGUUCCCUGUUUGUGACUUUACAAGUUGUGAGUUGUUACACUGUUUUUUGCACAAAACAGCGGCGCUCGCCUUUUCGAUAUCUGGCUAAUUCCGUUUGCCAUUUUCUUAAAUCGUUACACAGAAAUAUAUGACUAAUUAGAAUAUUUUUUAUUUAUUUUGUCUAACCCAACUGCCCCAAAACAAUAUGAAAAAAGUGGGUAAAAAGUGUAAAAUUAUUGGUGUUACGAUGUAUAUAAAAAAAGUGAAAGUUAUAAAUACGAAUUUACCUCUAUC